UACAGAGGUCCCAAGCGUUGUUCGGAUUCAUUGGGCGUAAAGGGUGCGUAGGUGGCGCCGUAAGUCGGGUGUGAAAUUUCGGAGCUUAACUCCGAAACUGCAUUCGAUACUGCGGUGCUUGAGGACUGGAGAGGAGACUGGAAUUCAUGGUGUAGCAGUGAAAUGCGUAGAGAUCGUGAGGAAGGCCAGUGGCGAAGGCGAGUCUCUGGACAGUUCCUGACGCUGAGGCACGAAGGCCAGGGGAGCAAACGGG
rnacentral:rRNA from 1 species